AGGCUUCACUGGGCAGGGUUUGGACUGGUCCAUCAGGGAAGGGCAUGGUCUUCCAUCACCUUGAAAGGGCUGGGUCACUGUUCGUCUUCGGAUCAUUUUUCCUUUAAGAGAUACAAAGUGAUGCGACUUUAAUAUAUGUUAUGGUUUUGCAAGCAUAUAUCUCAUUGGGAGAAGGCAUCACAGUGAUAUCUCCUGAGGCAAUCCAGGAACAAAUCUAUUGAGGCUCCUACUUAUCUUGGUUGGUAUUUGACCCAGUGGACCUCAGAUGCAUUGAGAGUCAACAUUUGUCACGUUUUUGGGCUCUACCUGGACCUGCCAACCCAGUUCCUGUGCGCCCCUCAGAAGAAUUCAGCCUGCAGGAGGACAGCUUUGACCCCUGUGAUUUCAUCUCUGCUGCAACCAAUCAGCAGCAAGCACCCAUUCCCUGGCAGUCCCACCCCUUCCCCUAAACUGCCUUUGAAAAACCCCUACCUAGGAGCCUUAGACAAUAUUGAUUUGAGUACUAACUCCAUCUUCCAUGUGGCAUGGCUGGCCUUAUGUCUAUUCAACUCUUUCUUUACUGC
rnacentral:antisense_RNA from 1 species